rnacentral:rRNA from 1 species
UACGGAGGGUGCAAGCGUUAAUCGGAAUUAUUGGGCGUAAAGCGCGCGCAGGCGGUCUCUUAAGUCUGAUGUGAAAGCCCCCGGCUCAACCGGGGAGGGGCAUUGGAAACUGGGAGACUUGAGUGCAGAAGAGGAGAGUGGAAUUCCAGGUGUAGCGGUGAAAUGCGUAGAGAUAUGGAGGAAUACCAGUGGCGAAGGCGGCCCUCUGGAC